AUGCAAGUCGAACGAUGAAGCCCUUCGGGGUGGAUUAGUGGCGAACGGGUGAGUAACACGUGGGCAAUCUGCCCUUCACUCUGGGACAAGCCCUGGAAACGGGGUCUAAUACCGGAUAAUACCUGCCUGGGCAUCUGGGUGGGUUAAAAGCUCCGGCGGUGAAGGAUGAGCCCGCGGCCUAUCAGCUUGUUGGUGAGGUAGUGGCUCACCAAGGCGACGACGGGUAGCCGGCCUGAGAGGGCGACCGGCCACACUGGGACUGAGACACGGCCCAGACUCCUACGGGAGGCAGCAGUGGGGAAUAUUGCACAAUGGGCGAAAGCCUGAUGCAGCGACGCCGCGUGAGGGAUGACGGCCUUCGGGUUGUAAACCUCUUUCAGCAGGGAAGAAGCGAAAGUGACGGUACCUGCAGAAGAAGCGCCGGCUAACUACGUGCCAGCAGCCGCGGUAAUACGUAGGGCGCAAGCGUUGUCCGGAAUUAUUGGGCGUAAAGAGCUCGUAGGCGGCUUGUCACGUCGGUUGUGAAAGCCCGGGGCUUAACCCCGGGUCUGCAGUCGAUACGGGCAGGCUAGAGUGUGGUAGGGGAGAUCGGAAUUCCUGGUGUAGCGGUGAAAUGCGCAGAUAUCAGGAGGAACACCGGUGGCGAAGGCGGAUCUCUGGGCCAUUACUGACGCUGAGGAGCGAAAGCGUGGGGAGCGAACAGGAUUAGAUACCCUGGUAGUCCACGCCGUAAACGGUGGGAACUAGGUGUUGGCGACAUUCCACGUCGUCGGUGCCGCAGCUAACGCAUUAAGUUCCCCGCCUGGGGAGUACGGCCGCAAGGCUAAAACUCAAAGGAAUUGACGGGGGCCCGCACAAGCAGCGGAGCAUGUGGCUUAAUUCGACGCAACGCGAAGAACCUUACCAAGGCUUGACAUCGCCCGGAAAGCAUCAGAGAUGGUGCCCCCCUUGUGGUCGGGUGACAGGUGGUGCAUGGCUGUCGUCAGCUCGUGUCGUGAGAUGUUGGGUUAAGUCCCGCAACGAGCGCAACCCUUGUUCUGUGUUGCCAGCAUGCCCUUCGGGGUGAUGGGGACUCACAGGAGACUGCCGGGGUCAACUCGGAGGAAGGUGGGGACGACGUCAAGUCAUCAUGCCCCUUAUGUCUUGGGCUGCACACGUGCUACAAUGGCAGGUACAAUGAGCUGCGAUGCCGCGAGGCGGAGCGAAUCUCAAAAAGCCUGUCUCAGUUCGGAUUGGGGUCUGCAACUCGACCCCAUGAAGUCGGAGUUGCUAGUAAUCGCAGAUCAGCAUUGCUGCGGUGAAUACGUUCCCGGGCCUUGUACACACCGCCCGUCACGUCACGAAAGUCGGUAACACCCGAAGCCGGUGGCCCAACCCCCUUGUGGGGAGGGAGCUGUCGAAGGUGGGACUGGCGAUUGGGACGAAGUCGUAA
rnacentral:rRNA from 1 species